CCCGCCAGGGAGAGGGGGCUCCCCGUGCCUCCCUGUCGGUCCCCUGGGGGAGGUCACUCACCCGCAGCGCGGCUGGGGUUCCGACUCUGGCAGCGGCCAUCCACCUCGGAGGGAGGAGCAGGAGGAGGAGGGAGUAGACAGAGGAGAAGGGCGAAGGGGGCGGCGGGGGCGGGGAGGGAGGCCCCGAGCGGCCGGAGCGGAGGGGCGGGGGCGUGGCCACUCCGCCGACGCUCUCCCGCCCCGCCCCCUGCUCCGCCCCGCCCCCUGCUCCGCCCCGCUUCUCUCCUCACUCCUUUCCCGCCCUGGAUCCCCCUAAGUUUUUCUCCAUUCUCUUCCCCCAACCCGUCCCCGUAUCUUUCUUCCAAGUCUCCAGCUCCCCACAAGUCGGGGAGAAGAUGCUCCCUCCAUCAAACGUGGGACGGGGUGCGAGAAGUUGCUCAAGCUGAACCUGGAGCGUCUUCUCCCUUCACCCAGGCCUGCUAUAGAACAGAAUGUGAACAGUGCCCCCUGGAGUUGUGCAGCCAGCAAACCUACACCCCCCUCCCUGCUACUUUAUAUUAAAGAGCCUCUUUUUCUCAUUUGGAAUUUCUUAUAAUCCCAAUUUUUACUGAAAACAUGUAUCAUAUAUAUGCAUGAAAAAAGAACAGGAAUAAACAAAAAUAUUAAUAGCUGAAUCUCCAAAAAGAUGUGUAUUCAACACUUUUCCUCAUUUUCCAAAUUUUCCACAAUAAGCAUAUAGUAUCUAAUGAAGAAAAAGUCAGAAAUAUUGUUUCAGUAAGUUCUGAAAAUUCCAUCAUCUCCAGGAAGCAAUGAAUGAUUAAAGUCCUUUUUAUUUGCUCCUAUGUGAACUUCAGUCAACUGAGUCCCUAUCUGUGCCUGGACUGAGAAUUCUCUCUCAUCUUUCACUUUCCAUGUUUUAAGAGGCCUAGACAGAACAGAUGAUUCUUUGAGAGGGCACAGCAAUGGCAAGUAGAGACAAAAGACGCUCACUGGAAAGGCUUGUGGAGAGAGUUAUUUUAAGAGGAGACACAAUGCCCAGGAUGAUAAGGGAGGAAGAUCCCAAGAGAGCAGCAGUACCGCUGGCCUAGAGAUCAACCAGGAUAGCCUGGCACAGAUCAAAGGACUCUCGGAGCGAUUUCUUCCUUUCCUUCCUUUUUCUGGCUGCACCACAUGGCUUGUGGGAUCUUAGUUCUCAGAACAGGGAUCAAACCCAGAACCCCAGCAUUGAGAGCACUGAGUUCUAACCCUUGGACAGCCAGGGAAUUCCCUAGGAGAGACUUCUUGAAGAAGAUAAAUUUAGCUAAACACCCAGUUGAAUCUGAUCACACUGAGAUGAGAAUUAUGCACCUGGGCACCUGGGAAAGAAUUUAGGAAUAAAUUAGUGAUAAGCACCAUGGAAGACAGAUAUAGUUAUUAACUCCAGGGAAAACAAAAAAAGUUGUACAAGAAAGGAAAAGGCAUCACAGUACAUUACAUGACUCAGUUACCAACAGCAUUUAAAUGAUCAUAUUAAAAUAUACAUGGAGCAUCGAUCUAAUCAAAAUGUUGAUAUAACUAGUCUGAAAGAGACAACACGAAAACAGAAAGCGUGUAUAUGUAUGUGAACAGUAGGGAAAGGGAGGCAGAUGAAACAGAGACAAAUCCUCAUCUUCUAACUGGGAAAUCAACUGACAAUGCCUAACAGGAAAAGUGAAAGUAGCAUGUCAUUUGGAAAUAGGGAGCUGGAUCUAGACAGUGAGUGAAAGUGCUUUUCUCUGGGGAGCAUGAAAUGAGGGUGAAAAUCAGGAGACUGUCUCUUUUGCCUUGUUUUCUCUUUGUAAUAAGUACUAUUUUUAAAUAUUUAUUUGGCUGUGCCAGGUCUUAGUUUCAGCAUGCAGGAUCUUUAGCUGUGGCACUCAGACUCUUGGCUGCAACAUGUGGGAUCUAGUUCCUGACCAGGGAUCAAACUGGGGUCCCUGCAUUGGGAGCAAAGAGUCUUGGACCACCAGAGACAUUCCUGUAAUAAGUACAGCUUGACGCAAAUCGAGUUUAUAAUUUUGGUAAAAAUACAGACAUUUAAUCAAGGAAGCAGCACCUCUAUGUUUUCUCUCUCACUUGCUGCCUUGUCUGAGACAAGCCCAGGGCAAGACAGGACAUAUGGCAGUUUGUAAUUGUGCAUUUACAGGAUCACUGUUGCUUCACUAGCAGACUGUAAGCUCUUAAGGGCACCCAGCAGACUGCCUUGCUUAUCACAGUCUCAUCUGCACCAAGCACUCAGCAGGCACUGGGUGAGGCAGAUUAAGAAGUUAGCACUCUCAUCUUUAUAAAAGAUACGCAUGACUCAAGUGUUCACAGGGGAAAGGGUCCAAUGUCUGGGACUUGCCUUAAAAUACUCCCAGAAAAGAAGCCAUGUGGAAAAAAAGAUGAAACAAGAUUAACAAAAUGUUUGUAAGAAGUGAUGGAGACACAAGGGUUCAUACUAAUCUCUAGUUUUGUGGUUACUAAAUUCCUUUAAAAAAAAAUAACAACAAAGUUUGUACAGAAAGUGGAUUAUAAGGGGCAGACUCAUGGCAUAAAUUUAUUAAAUUCAGAAUUUGGUAGCUGGGAAGGUUUAUGUAACGAGGAAUAUGUAAAUAAAAAUAGGGGUCAGAGAAGAAAAAAAAAUGGUAUCAAAGGCAAACCUUGUACCCAGCCCAUUAGCUCAAGAAGCUAAAUAAAUGCUGAAAGAAGGGGUAGGAAUACUUACUGAAGACAUGGAAAGGGAAAGUUGCAUUAAGUACAGGAGUUACUGAGAAAUUUAGUAUUUUAUCCUCCAAAUAUAUAGUACUUGUAGGAAGAGAACUGAAUGUCCUCAGUUCAAAAGGCUCAUACUACAGUAGUGAAUAAGCCAGGCUCUGGAAUCAGACAAGCCUGGAUCUGAAUCCCAGCCCCACAUGGACUAGCUGUGUGAUAUGGACAAACUGCUUACCCUCUCUAAGCCUUAGUUUUCUAACUGUAAAACAGGGACAGUAUUAGCACCAAUGAGAUACAGUUAUGGGAAGUUUAAAAGAAAUAAGUCUUUACCAUGCCUGACUUAAAUAAAUGGUUACCCAGUGGUGGUCAUUAUAUACUUUGCCAAGAGACUGCCUAAAGAACAAAGAUCUUAGCAAUUAAGUUAAAAAGGGACAAUUUUACCAGGAAACCAACUGCACCCUCUACAGUCCUGCCCUGUUCCUCAGAUCUAGGAAACCUCCCAGAGGCACUGACCCCUACACAAAGGUCAAGCCUUCCACAGGGACUGCCAGCAGGUCUGUGGGACCAGGCACCAUGCUGGGUGAUAGGGACCGCUGGUCUGGGAGCUCUGGCAGCUCUCAGUUGGGGAGAGAUACAAGUCCCGGCCACCAAAGCAAAGAAGGACAACCCAAGAUUCACAUUUUCUCUAUGAGAAAAGCAGGCCCAUCUCUCAGGAGAAGUGACACUCUUCCUGACCCAGAGGUCUGAGGAUUUUCAUAAAGGUAGAUAGAGACUUGGAGAAGGGAAUGGCAACCCACUCCAGUACUCUUGCCUGGAAAAUCCCAUGGACAGAGGAGACUGGUAGGCUACAGUCCAUGGGGUCUCAAAGAGUCCGACACAACUGAGCGACUUUACUUUCACUGCUGCUGCUGCUGCUGCUGCUAAGUCGCUUUAGUCAUGUCCGACUCUGUGCGACCCCACAGACGGCAGCCCACCAGGCUCCCCUGUCCCUGGGAUUCUCCAGGCAAGAACACUGGAGGGGUUGCCAUUUCCUUCUACAGAGACUAUAGCAAGGGGGCAGGGGCAGGGGCAGGUGGAGGGGGGAGCGCUUGGAAGAGAAUAAGGAAAAAGUGAGUGACAGUUAGUAUACAUGUCUCACAUGUACACACUACAGCCAGAGCGCAAUGAGGGGCCACUGUGAAGGCUUUCUUUCCAUCCAGGAGAUGGGCUCUGCAGAAAUGUGCUAAGUGGAGAGAGAGAUGUCUGGAGAACAGGAAGACGAGUGAGUCAUCCAGGCAGCAGGGAGCCAGGGCUCAAUUUAAGGCAUCAGAUAAGAAGUUAGAGCCGAGAUAUGUGAAAAGGCAGGAAGGUUCAGCAAGACAAGGUAAAAAACGAGAUACGUGAGGUGAGGAGGAAGUCAAGGUGACUCCCAGAUGUUCAGCUUAACUCAUAGCCAGGUAGAAGCAAGAUGCUAACUCCCUCGAUCUUCCCUUGCACUCAGGUGCAUUCAGGUCAGAAUCCCUGGCUUCCCCUUUGACUGACUCUUCUUUCUCUCACACUCCACGUUCCUGCCCAGGCAGCAUUCUUUUGACAAACAUUCACUGAAUGCCAGGCAGUGUUUUAGGUACAGGGAAGACAACAGUGAGCAAACCAGACCAAAAACCUGCCCUUAUGAAACUGUAUCCUCUAAAACCAGAAGGGAAAGAGACACGUGUACCCCAAUGUUCAUCGCAGCACUGUUUAUAAUAGCCAGGACAUGGAAGCAACAUAGAUGUCCAUCAGCAGAUGAAUGGAUAAGAAAGCUGUGGUACAUAUACACAAUGGAGUAUUACUCAG
rnacentral:lncRNA from 1 species